rnacentral:rRNA from 1 species
AGAGUUUGAUCAUGGCUCAGGACGAACGCUGGCGGCGUGCUUAACACAUGCAAGUCGAGCGGAAAGGCCCUUCGGGGUACUCGAGCGGCGAACGGGUGAGUAACACGUGAGCAACCUGCCCCUAGCUCUGGGAUAGCUCCGGGAAACCGGGAUUAAUACCAGAUACGACCACUUUAGACAUCUGCUGUGGUGGAAAGGAUUCCGGCUAGGGAUGGGCUCGCGGCCUAUCAGCUUGUUGGUGGGGUAACGGCCUACCAAGGCGACGACGGGUAGCCGGCCUGAGAGGGCGACCGGCCACACUGGGACUGAGACACGGCCCAGACUCCUACGGGAGGCAGCAGUGGGGAAUAUUGCGCAAUGGGCGAAAGCCUGACGCAGCGACGCCGCGUGGGGGAUGAAGGCCUUCGGGUUGUAAACCCCUUUCAGCAGGGACGAAGCGAAAGUGACGGUACCUGCAGAAGAAGCGCCGGCUAACUACGUGCCAGCAGCCGCGGUAACACGUAGGGCGCAAGCGUUGUCCGGAAUUAUUGGGCGUAAAGAGCUCGUAGGCGGUCUGUUGCGUCCGCUGUGAAAUCUCGGGGCUUAACCCCGAGCCUGCAGUGGAUACGGGCAGACUAGAGGUAGGUAGGGGAGAAUGGAAUUCCCGGUGUAGCGGUGAAAUGCGCAGAUAUCGGGAGGAACACCGGUGGCGAAGGCGGUUCUCUGGGCCUUACCUGACGCUGAGGAGCGAAAGCGUGGGGAGCGAACAGGAUUAGAUACCCUGGUAGUCC